rnacentral:rRNA from 1 species
ACUCCUACGGGAGGCAGCAGUGGGGAAUAUUGCACAAUGGGCGCAAGCCUGAUGCAGCGACGCCGCGUGAGGGAUGACGGCCUUCGGGUUGUAAACCUCUUUCAGCAGGGACGAAGCGCAAGUGACGGUACCUGUAGAAGAAGGACCGGCCAACUACGUGCCAGCAGCCGCGGUAAUACGUAGGGUCCGAGCGUUGUCCGGAAUUACUGGGCGUAAAGAGCUCGUAGGUGGUUUGUCGCGUUGUUCGUGAAAACUCACAGCUUAACUGUGGGCGUGCGGGCGAUACGGGCAGACUUGAGUACUGCAGGGGAGACUGGAAUUCCUGGUGUAGCGGUGGAAUGCGCAGAUAUCAGGAGGAACACCGGUGGCGAAGGCGGGUCUCUGGGCAGUAACUGACGCUGAGGAGCGAAAGCGUGGGGAGCGAACAGGAUUAGAUACCCUGGUAGUCCACGCCGUAAACGGUGGGUACUAGGUGUGGGUUUCCUUCCUUGGGAUCCGUGCCGUAGCUAACGCAUUAAGUACCCCGCCUGGGGAGUACGGCCGCAAGGCUAAAACUCAAAGAAAUUGACGGGGGCCCGCACAAGCGGCGGAGCAUGUGGAUUAAUUCGAUGCAACGCGAAGAACCUUACCUGGGUUUGACAUGCACAGGACGUGCCUAGAGAUAGGUAUUCCUUGUGGCCUGUGUGCAGGUGGUGCAUGGCUGUCGUCAGCUCGUGUCGUGAGAUGUUGGGUUAAGUCCCGCAACGAGCGCAACCCUUAUCUUAUGUUGCCAGCGCGUAAUGGCGGGGACUCGUGAGAGACUGCCGGGGUCAACUCGGA